AGUUGUCAAAGAUAUUUUGUUUAUUUGCUGGAUGCUUUUUUUUUUAUUUUUUGGUUUUUUGAGACAGGGUUUCUCUGUGUAGCCCUGGGUGUCCUGGAACUCACUCUGUAGACCAGGCUGGCCUCGAACUCACAGAGCUCUGCCUCCUGAGUGCUGGGAUUAAAGGCGUGCACCACCACCGCCCAGCUUGCUGGAUGCUUUAAAUAUCUUUCUUUGUUGUUAACAUAUGAAAAUUUAAUUAGUAUGUAGUUUGGUAUGGAUUUAUUUGUCCUUCUAUUUUGAGUCUCCUCCCCCUCUUCCUCCUCCUCCUCUUCUUUUUUUGAGACAAGGCCUAUGUCUCUUGGCUGGCUUAGAACUCACUAUGUAGACCAGGCUGGUCCCAAACUCACCGAGAUCCGCCUGCUUCUGCCUCCCGAAGGUGUGUAGUAUCGGUUUAAUGAGUUGUUUUCAAGUAAAAAGUGAGUGUCCUCAUGUUAGCUCAUGAGAACCUGGAUACCCUUUCAGCUUUCUCUUUUGACUGAUGUCUGCUGGCUCUGCUCCCUUGAUUUGAUUGACACUCAGAUUGAGGUACUUAGUACUACUGAAUGAGGUGAGAAAUUGGGCUUCUCAUGUCAUUUGCACCAGUCCUGAAGAUAGAAGUGCCUUGCAGUUGAUGAGUGAAAAUGAGAAGUCCUGAUGGUUUCUUUGGCCUUUCCCCACCAUUAUUUGCAGCUUCAGAAGUAUGGGAGUCAAGCAACAAACUUGACCUUGCUGUGUAGAUGAAGGUGGAACCGGAGUUCUUUUCUGUGGUGUUUACAGUUACUAUGCAGAGUAAAGCAAUGUGAUGGAAUGAAGACCUCCCAUUAUCGAAUAGGAAGCACAUGAAGAUACAAUGCCCCAAACAAACCCUCCUUCAGAUUUACAUUCUGACCCUUCAUCCUUCCCAACUGGUCCCAGGAUCUGGUGAAAGCGGUGAAAACUUCCACUCACUGGAGUGGAGAGAAGA